GUGGCGAGUCCGGCAGCUGGGUGGCUGCGCCGGCCUCCGGGCCCUUCUCACGCAACUCCCGGGCACCUCGCCCCCGGCCAGGUGGGGCGGGGAUGGGCCGCGUGACCUCUGCCCCCUGGAGGGACGUACCGGACACGUGCACGAUAGCCUAGGGAGACUUCAGGCUGGGCGCCCCCCUCCUCGGUCCCUGGGCCCCCUCCCCUGCCCGGUCCGAGGGUCCCCCUUUCCUCGGCCCCCGGGAGCUAGCCGCACACAGCCCCCCUCGCCGCCCAAUUUCUCCGCCCCGCCAAUAAGCCAGGAGCCCCGGGAGUCAAGAGGGAACCACGAGGGCCUGUGGGUCCCGGCUGGAGGUACCCCCGGUUUGCAGCGUUCCAAAAGUGGCCCCCCAGCUAGUGAGGGCCCGUGAGCGCUCAGCGAGACUGUGCGUUUCCAUCCACUCCCGCCUGUCUAUCCGGGAGCUCAGACUAGGGCUAGUCACCCGGGCUCUGGGGGCUCUUGGGGAACGAAGCCAGCCCUUCGGCGCCUCUGGCCUUCCGGUCCCGGUGACCUCGGGGCUGGGGUCGCAGUGCUUCUCACGCGAGCCCGGACUCGGUAACCCGGGGGAAAGAGGUCAUCACACAGCAGCCCCGCCCAGCCUGCCUGGCCCCUGUCAACUAGCAGCAAGGGGGAGGCACUCCCAAGCCCAGUGUUCCAGUGCAUGCAAAAAUUAGAGUGAGGGGUCCCCGCACCGGGGAAUGGAGGGCUUCCCCUACCGUGUCUUUGGGCUGUCUUGGGACUUCUUCAAGUCCCCACCUCAGCUGGGGUCUGCGCUGUCCAUGGGGACCUUGGAACUGGGGUCUCAGCUCUAGGGGGUGUGGCCAAGCGCCCAGCUGUUUAAAAAGGUGGAAGUGCUUUCACCCUCAUCCCGAAGGUGACAGUUCCUAGGAGCUUUCCCUGUUCUUCUUUCGUGUCCCUCGAUUAAGGGACCAGUCAUCCCAGCUCACUUCAGUACCUUCUCACAGCCACAGGGGGCAAUCUGUGUGAGAGAUGGCCGGCUGCGGAGAGCUGGAGUAUCAGUCCCUGAAGACUCACCAGUCACAUCUUUCUUGGCCUCUGGCUGUUUUGCUAAGGCUGGAGGUCCCCGGGGCACCCAGUGUGCAGAAGGGAAACCAGAGCACCCCAAGGCCUGUCCCUAGUUCACUCAGGGAGUCAGGGCUUGAGUGUGCUUUGGGAUCCGGCUCCUGCAGGAGGCCUCCCUAGACGAAUGGCUGUAUACUUAAGGUAGGAGCGGACAAUCUGCCCAUCUUGGGAGGUCCGAAGUUCAGGAUUCAGAUGGGGAGAUUCCCCAGGUCAGAUCUGGAUUUUCUCUUCUCUGAGAUCUAGCUGGGCAUAUCUCCCCUCCACCCCCACCCCAAGGGAUACAACUGGAGCCCCGGAAGGCAAAAUGACAAGUCCGAGGCUGUGCCAUGGAGCCUGCAACACUGGAGCUCCUCAUCUCCAGUCCAGAGCACCUGGCAGGUGCCCCAGUCAAAGGCCAAUGUCUUGCGGAGAAUACUCCCUGGAUUUGCACACCCUUUCUAGAACAAGCCUAGAGAGAAAGUUUAGUCUCCGCCUCUGUUAAAUUUAGAUUGAUUCUUAAUUUCCCGAAUUCCAGUCUAGCAUUUUCUUGCAGCCCUUAUCUGGUGGGAGUCUUCCAUUUACCUCUGUUCUCUGGUGACUGGGAAAUGGGGGAGGCCCAGACUGUUCAUUCAUCGAGAACUGAGCCCCGCAAAAACCCUGGCCUGGAUUUCUGUGACCGGAGCCUCAAUGUAGCUUGUCACGGCCGCUUUUAAACCUUGGGUCAGUUG